AUGGGUUCAUCCGGUUCCACGAUGAGGCCAUUGUGUGCUAACCAAUAAGACAUGCCGAACAAGUGGGAGAACACAUCUUUGGACAAGGUGAAGGAGAAAGAUGUGAAAAUCCCACCAUGUUGGUGUAGAGAUGUUUGCAAGGUGAAGGUGUCCACCGACCGAAAGAAGUCAUGGACAGAGGGAAGAAUAUUUUUUGUAUGCCCCAACUAUGCCCAUGAUCACGCGCUUCCAACUAACCCCUAUGACCUACCGCCGGUAUGUCUUAAAAGUAACAUGUUACUUUCAAAUUUGUCGAGCACUAAUGAAUUUUGUGUAUGCAAUCAUUGCCUACUCUAUGCAAGUACUUCACAUGGGCAGAUCGUGAAGUGCCAGAAGAUGUCCAAAAGGACCAAUAUCAAGAUUGUCUUAGGCACCAAUGGCGGUUCGAAGAAUCGUUUCGAAGAGGUUUGGAGGAGCGUCGUCAGAAGGAGAGGUUAG
rnacentral:rRNA from 1 species